UGGCAUAGCUCAGUCGGUAGAGCAAAGGACUGAAAAUCCUUGUGUCCUUGGUUCGAUUCCAAGUGC
rnacentral:tRNA from 1 species